rnacentral:rRNA from 1 species
UGGGGAAUAUUGGACAAUGGGGGAAACCCUGAUCCAGCGACGCCGCGUGUGUGAAGAAGGCCUGCGGGUUGUAAAGCACUUUCGGUGGGAACGAAAUAUGCCGGGCUAAUACCCCGGUAGGCUGACGUUACUCAAUGAAGAAGCACCGGCUAACUCUGUGCCAGCAGCCGCGGUAAUACAGAGGGUGCAAGCGUUGUUCGGAAUUACUGGGCGUAAAGGGCGCGUAGGCGGCCGACUAAGUCAGACGUGAAAUCCCAUGGCUCAACCAUGGAACUGCGUCUGAUACUGGAUGGCUUGAAUCCGGGAGAGGGAUGUGGAAUUCCAGGUGUAGCGGUGAAAUGCGUAGAUAUCAGGAGGAACACCGGUGGCGAAGGCGGAUCUCUGGGCCAGUAUUGACGCUGAGGUGCGAAAGCGUGGGGAGCAAACAGGAUUAGAUACCCCUGUAGUCCCUGAGCGGGCUGGCAAGGCGCAU